rnacentral:lncRNA from 1 species
UGUUUUUUACUCUAGAGGAGGUGCUCAGCUGCUAGCAACCACACACUCAUCCAAGGUAUUUUAAAGAGGCUUCCCACUUCCAGGUAUGGAAGAGCAACGACCUCCUGGAAGAGGAGAGGGAAAUGGACCUUUCAAAGGAUGGGGAUUGAAACAAAAGCUCCCUUCAUCAGGAGGCAAAGAAGCCCAUCUAGCUUUCAGUCCUCUUUUCCUGCUGUCCCGAGUGCCACUCCUCCCAUUUUGAAAAAGUGACUUAUGCUGGAAUAAUGGAUUGCUAUGUUGUCACGUGUCAUCAGCGGGACUUCAGCCUUCGUCUGUCUUCCUUCACCACCAUUGUGCAGCACUAGAAAAAGUGCAAUCACUACUCUUGGAUUCUGAAAUUAUUUGUUCAAUAAGAAAGACGUUGGCACAUUUGCGAGUACCCAUUAUAAUAUUUGAUACUGUUAUGCAUUUGUGGAGAGCGUGGCUUGUAUAUGAGUGGGCGGAGGGAAUUAUUUUCGUAUUCUAGUUUGAUAAUCAGUCCCACAUGAAAAUCAUGUCUAAAGCCUUCCAGGUGCUGCCCACUCAAAAACAUCAGACAACACUGGUCCCAAACUUUCCAUUCAUCUCUCAUCCCACACCUUCAUUAAUAUGUUACUGAAUGAUGCUCCAGGAGCUAGCAAGAGGCUUGAUGAAAAGGUAGCUUAAAUGAUGGAAAGUCAUUUUCAGUAGUUAUGCUUUUAUGUUUAUUGAUUCAGCUAGAAGAGAGAUAAUAAUUAACAUCAGUUAUCUAGUAAACCUGUGAACUUGUUCCUGAAGCACAACCUG